ACAUGCAGGUCGAGCGAACAGACGAGGAGCUUGCUCCUCUGACGUUAGCGGCGGACGGGUGAGUAACACGUGGAUAACCUACCUAUAAGACUGGGAUAACUUCGGGAAACCGGAGCUAAUACCGGAUAAUAUAUUGAACCGCAUGGUUCAAUAGUGAAAGACGGUUUUGCUGUCACUUAUAGAUGGAUCCGCGCCGCAUUAGCUAGUUGGUAAGGUAACGGCUUACCAAGGCAACGAUGCGUAGCCGACCUGAGAGGGUGAUCGGCCACACUGGAACUGAGACACGGUCCAGACUCCUACGGGAGGCAGCAGUAGGGAAUCUUCCGCAAUGGGCGAAAGCCUGACGGAGCAACGCCGCGUGAGUGAUGAAGGUCUUCGGAUCGUAAAACUCUGUUAUUAGGGAAGAACAAAUGUGUAAGUAACUAUGCACGUCUUGACGGUACCUAAUCAGAAAGCCACGGCUAACUACGUGCCAGCAGCCGCGGUAAUACGUAGGUGGCAAGCGUUAUCCGGAAUUAUUGGGCGUAAAGCGCGCGUAGGCGGUUUUUUAAGUCUGAUGUGAAAGCCCACGGCUCAACCGUGGAGGGUCAUUGGAAACUGGAAAACUUGAGUGCAGAAGAGGAAAGUGGAAUUCCAUGUGUAGCGGUGAAAUGCGCAGAGAUAUGGAGGAACACCAGUGGCGAAGGCGACUUUCUGGUCUGUA
rnacentral:rRNA from 1 species